rnacentral:rRNA from 1 species
CACGGACUUCGGUCUGGUGGCGAGUGGCGAACGGGUGAGUAACAUAUCGGAACAUACCCUAGAGUGGGGGAUAACGUAGCGAAAGUUACGCUAAUACCGCAUACGCACUAAGGUGGAAAGUGGGGGAUCGCAAGACCUCAUGCUCAUGGAGUGGCCGAUAUCUGAUUAGCUAGUUGGUGAGGUAAAGGCUCACCAAGGCGACGAUCAGUAGCUGGUUUGAGAGAACGACCAGCCACACUGGAACUGAGACACGGUCCAGACUCCUACGGGAGGCAGCAGUGGGGAAUCUUGGACAAUGGGCGCAAGCCUGAUCCAGCAAUGCCGCGUGAGUGAAGAAGGCCUUCGGGUUGUAAAGCUCUUUUGUCAGGGAAGAAACGGUAGUCUCUAAUACAGAUUGCUAAUGACGGUACCUGAAGAAUAAGCACCGGCUAACUACGUGCCAGCAGCCGCGGUAAUACGUAGGGUGCAAGCGUUAAUCGGAAUUACUGGGCGUAAAGCGUGCGCAGGCGGUUAUAUAAGUCAGAUGUGAAAUCCCCGGGCUCAACCUGGGAACUGCAUUUGAGACUGUAUGGCUAGAGUGUGUCAGAGGGGGGUAGAAUUCCACGUGUAGCAGUGAAAUGCGUAGAUAUGUGGAGGAAUACCGAUGGCGAAGGCAGCCCCCUGGGAUAACACUGACGCUCAUGCACGAAAGCGUGGGGAGCAAACAGGAUUAGAUACCCUGGUAGCCCACGCCCUAAACGAUGUCUACUAGUUGUCGGGACUUAAUUGUCUUGGUAACGCAGCUAACGCGUGAAGUAGACCGCCUGGGGAGUACGGUCGCAAGAUUAAAACUCAAAGGAAUUGACGGGGACCCGCACAAGCGGUGGAUGAUGUGGAUUAAUUCGAUGCAACGCGAAAAACCUUACCUACCCUUGACAUGGU